ACCGCUGUAGCUUAAUGGAAAAGCUCCAUAACUGGAGGAUGGAGGUUUGAUUCCUUCCGGCGGUC
rnacentral:tRNA from 1 species